CGGGGUGAGUAACGCGUGGGUAACCUGCCUCAUACAGGGGAUAACAGUUAGAAAUGACUGCUAAUACCGCAUAAGCGCACAGUGCUGCAUGGCACAGUGUGAAAAACUCCGGUGGUAUGAGAUGGACCCGCGUCUGAUUAGCUAGUUGGUGGGGUAACGGCCUACCAAGGCGACGAUCAGUAGCCGGCCUAAGAGGGUGAACGGCCACAUUGGGACUGAGACACGGCCCAA
rnacentral:rRNA from 1 species